GCGUGAAUAGUUUAAGGGUAGAAUUCGAGCUUCCCAUGCUCGAGGCCCGUGUUCGAGGUAAGAAUUACAGGCUCUCUAAACGCA
rnacentral:tRNA from 1 species